ensembl:misc_RNA Metazoa_SRP Metazoan signal recognition particle RNA
GCUGGGUGUGGUGGCGUGUGCCUAUAGUCCCAGCUACUUGGGAGGCUGAGGCAGAAGAAUCACUUGAACCCGGGAGGCAGAGGUUGCAGUGGGCCACAAUCGUGCCACUGCACUCCAGCCUGGGUGACAUAGUGAGACUCUGUCUCAA